rnacentral:rRNA from 1 species
UACGAAGGGGGCUAGCGUUGUUCGGAAUCACUGGGCGUAAAGCGCACGUAGGCGGCUCUUUAAGUCAGGGGUGAAAUCCCGGGGCUCAACCUCGGAACUGCCUUUGAUACUGGGGAUCUCGAGUCCGGGAGAGGUGAGUGGAACUGCGAGUGUAGAGGUGAAAUUCGUAGAUAUUCGCAAGAACACCAGUGGCGAAGGCGGCUCACUGGCCCGGAACUGACGCUGAGGUGCGAAAGCGUGGGGAGCAAACAGG